GUACCGACUUUCUCGCCCUCUUACCGCCGAACAAUGGAGUCGAAUGAGGUUGAAAUCGUGGACGCACCGCCGGGAUACAGGUCAUCUGUGUGGCAGUAUUUUGGCUUCCCCGUAGAAAAGAUAAAGACGGCAACAACGUCAUGCUUUAUACCGCCUCUAUCACAAUAAACAUGAACCACCACCUCCAACUUUACCAUAAAGAUGUGGAGACGGCCCUAGAGAAAACAAGCCUGCCAAAGGGACAGCUGACCAUGAACCAAGCACUGACACCAACUCUACCCCCGUCAAGUCCGCGUGCAAAACAGAUAACCAGGCUCAUUGGCGAGUUCAGAGCUGACCAUAUGGCUCAAUUUAACAUGGUAGAGAACAGGGAAUAUAUCCAAAUGUUCAAGGUGCUGGUGCCCAAGUUUAAGAUGCUAUGCCGAGGACAUUUUUCCAGAGAAGGUCUUCCCGGAAAUUUACAAUGAAACCAAACAAAGUGUGAGAGAUUCCGAAGCCUGUCCCAUCUGAAUGAUGAACAACGCGAGACUGUCUACGCCCGGAUACGCGAGAAAGCCGCAGGACUUAAUCCAGGUAACUUUCAUUGGGGAAAAAAUUGACUUGUGCUGCGCGUGUGUGUAACUGUGUAUGUGUAGGCUACAGCCUGAAAACUUAUUUCUCAUAUCAAGUGAAAGAGAGAGAGUGUAUGUGUGUGCAUGUGUGUGUUAAUUUUUGUGUUCGAACUGUUAGGGCUUGUAUUUCCCUGACUGCAACUGAAACAAAAAUGAAUAAUUACGCAGUAAUAUUUUUUCUUUUUUGAUACCGUAUCGUGACGUAUUGUUUCGUGUACCUAGCAUAUUGAGGUGCAUCGUAUCGUGAGUUUAAGUGUAUUGUCCCAUUCCUAAUGUACUCAUAUACGACUAGUAAACUAAUGUUUAAUCUACUCUCACUCUGCACCCCUGAUGUGCACAAAUAGAGCCUUUACUCUCUGUAGGCCCUACAUGAUCAGAAAGAGACAAAGAGGUCUUCUGUCCUGUCUGCUUAAAUGCAUUGAGAGCAGUAUGAAAUCUCAUCUGAAAGUGAAAUGUUUGUAUUUUUACACGAUUUGCAGCUCAAAAUAUUUUCAUUUAUCUCAGAUAAGUGUAAAAGGUCUAAUUCCAGCUACUGUAUCUUUAAGGCACUUCAAAGCAUUCCAGAACCCAGUUUUGCAGAUCCCAGCAUUCCAGAACUCUCCUUAGCAGUUGCCUUUUUACAAAGUUGUUGUCAUUGAGUUAAUCAUGUUUCUCCAUUUCAAACGUCUUCUCCAGUCCACGUGUGCUUUGUGGACCUGGAGAAGGCAUUCAACUGUGUCCCUUGGGCAAUCCUGUGGGGGCUGCUCCUUGAGUAUGAGGAACCGGACACCCUAAUAAGGUUGUUUGGUCCCUGUAUGACCAGUGCCAGAGCCUGAUACGCGUAUCCGAUAGUAAAUUGGACUAGUUUCCAGUGAGGGUUGGACUCCACCAGGGCUGCCCUUUGUCACCGAUCCCGUUCAUGACAGUUAUAUGGACAAAUGUCAUGGGGUCUGAUUUGGUGGUCUCGGGAUUGGGUUACUGCUUUUUGCAGAUGAUUUGAUCCUUGGCGUCAUGGCUGGCUUCAUCGAGAUGUGACAUUCAGCUCUCACUGCAUUGGUUCGCAACCGAGUGUGGAUGAGAAUCAGCACUUCCAAAUCUGAGUCCAUGGUUCUCAGCCGGAAAAAAGAUGGUGUGUUCUCUUCAGGUUGGGGAUGAGAUCCUACCCCAAGUGGAGGAGUUUAAGUAUUUUAGGGUCUUGUUCACAGCUGAGGGAAGAAUGGAACGGGAGACUGACAGGCAGAUUGGUGCGGCGUCAGCAGUGAUGUGGACGCUACACCAAUCUUUCUUGGUAGAGAGGGAGCUGAGCCAAUAGACAAAGCUCUCGACAUACCAGUGGAUCAACGUUCCUACCCUCACUUAUGGUCACAAGCUGUGGGUAGUGACCAAAAGAGAAGGUACGCAGGUACAAGCAGCUGAAAUGAGUUUCCACAACAGGGUGGCUGGGGUUUUCCUCAGAGAUAGGGUGAGAAGUGCAGUCAUCCGGGAAGGUUUCAGAGCAGAGCUGCUGCUCUUCCACGUUGAGAGGACUCAGAUGAGGUGGCUUGGGUAUCUAACCAGGAUGCCUCCUGGAUGUCCCACUGGAAGAAGAUUGCAGGGAAGACUCAGGACAUGCUGGGUCACUCGCUUGAUCUCUCACUAUUUAUUUAGUAGUGCACUUAAGUGAGUAUGUUGUUUAAUAGUGUGGACUGAAUUCUGAGUAAAAAUUGAUAGACUCACUCAUGCACUGCAAAAUGAAAAAUGUCAGACAGACUAGAACUUUUAUUUUUCAUACAGGUUUUUAGACUGUUGAGCAUUACACAAAUGAUAUCAAGCAGCAUAAUCAUCAGGAAUUACAAUACAGCAAACCUGGUGUGGAUCUCAUUCAGUUCUCAUGUGACAUUUUGAACACACUGUUCUGAGCAUCCUGUUUUUUUACCCUAGGGUUACUCCAACACAGGUUUAUCUUACUGUAUAAAGGUUUGCACACAUUUAGUGUUGACUUUCAGCCAUCUAAAUCAAUAUUUUCUGUAAAAUAUGAAACAAAGUAUAAUACCAGCCCUCUUAUUAAAGUUGAGAUUCUAGUUCAAAAGCAUUAGGCCACUUCUAUCAAAGUUUGGAUUAUGCUUACAUUUUUAUAUAGGCUAAUUUGCCAUAGUGCCAAAACUUCCUUCGCAGCCUUCGAAGAAUCAGGUAGUUCCAUAGACCAGUCAGGCUGGUCUGAACUGAAAAGAUCUAGCUUUCAGAGAAUUGCACACUUACAUCGCUGCCCCGACAACAGCAUCACAAAGUGCUGCUCUUAUCAAAUAGUAUCAGGUGGCUAUUUGGCUACUCGGCUAACUAGCUAACAUUGCUUACAAUCACCAAAAUUUUUGAGAUAAUCUCAAAUUCCAAUGCGUCCAUCUUUUAUAACAUUUGUACAGGGCACUACUGAGUAAAGACCAAAUACUGAUAUUGAACUCUGUAUUAAUCUGCUGUUGGAGAGUCUGCUACCAUGAUUACAUUAGUACGCACAGAAUUAUUGGAUGAGUGGGGCUGUAAAGAAUCCACUUGAUACCGCAUUCCCAGCCCAGAAAAGUAGGACGCAUUUAUCGGCAGCAUUUGGAGUUGUCUUUGAAAUAGGACAGCCUUCAACGCUGCUCUGUGAUGCAAUUAGUCCUUGAAUACUGCCUUCACAGGCUGCAGCCCUUGAAUUGGGACACAGCUAUAGACACAUGUUGGUGAAUAAAAUGUUCGGAUAUGUGUUAUGGAUGCAUGUCUGCUCGAGGUUUCCAUAGAACAGGACUUAAUAAUGAGGAACAGAUGGUUAAAUCUGGAUAUAGUGGUGUAUACAUAGUCCAGUAUGGCUGAUGAGAGCGGUGGAGAUGAUGGUAGUGGAGGUGGAGGCGGUGGUGGUGGUGGUGGUGGGUCUUUUAUUUGAGUCCCAUGUAUAAAUGAAAUUGGAAGACUAAGCCGUGUACUUGAAAUGAUUGGUCCUAUCGGCUCCAAGAUUUUUCAUAUUCUCCACAAACAGGUCUCUCAUAAUCCUGGCAGUCUCAUAAAUAGCAGAUUAUUGAAUUGACUCUAUUAGUUCACAGCCUUGAACUGGGCGAGUAAUGGAAACCUGCCUAAUGGCUGGGGCUGCUGGGAUAAUUAACAGCAUGCAGAAUGAGGGGGUUUGAUUGUGCAAGGAAGGUAAUGUUCACCGUCUUGACUGUUUUUCUAACUGAACAUCCUCACUCUCUCUUUCAUAACACUCACCUCUCCGUCAGGCAGAACGCUCUGUACUAAUUUAAUUUCUUUUAUUUUCUGAUUGCUUGUCUCCUGCGUUUUUUUGAUGAUGUAAGAAAUCUUUUAAUGUGCUAGCAGCACAAAGUCAUGAUUGUUUGAGGCUAAAACGAGAAACUGUUCAAAUCAGUGAUCAUUUCUAAGCGUGCUAAUCACUGAAGCAACCUCAGGCUCCGCUAAUCACAAUGUAGAUAUAAUGAAAGUGCUCCCAUGACGAGCCGUGGCCCCGAAGAUGUGCAGUUUAUUUCUAACAAAACAGGCCAUGCAUUACUCAUUAAAUUAUUUUUGCCUUUUUUUUUUCUUCAAAGUACAAUUUGCUGCUCUCAUUUGAUCUGACUCCCUGGGUCUUCAGUCAGCCUUUAUGAGCUGUGGCAUUCUCAGUGAAAGGCUAAAUAGACGCCAGGUAAUGAGACAGUUUGGUUUUGUUGCUGUUUUGCUGCACACCUGACAUUUUCAGGACCUGAUUGUGAUGGGAAGUUACCUCUUCUGCAUAAUUAUUCGUGAGUAUAAAUUCUGAACCUGCUUGUGCACGUAGCUUCAUAAUUAAUAACUCUAUUAAUACUCAGCUGUGGUUUCUACAGCACUGCUUAAAUACUACAGUAGGUGGUAGGAGCCUUAAGGGGAUCACAGAUCAAAUCUAAUUAGCCGUACCUAAUACAUGAGGGAAAUGCCUUUAUGUUUAUCCAGCUCCUCUAACUGCUUUUUGCCUUCAGGUUGUGAUGAGGGAAAAUGUCCUGAAGGGCCCAUCUAAACAGGAACACUACAAUCAACAGCAGUACAGAGCGGCUGCUCCUGUCAGUGUCACAGUGUUUCCAGAAAUGGAUCUUUGCUGUUCUGCCAGGGGAGCGUGUGGGCUUUCUAUAAAUGCUCUCUCUAAACAUGCACAGGUGAAGGUAGUGUAUGCAGAGCUGGCUGUUUACUCAGAUAUUCCUGUCAUUCAUUGAUAAACUUUACCUCACAGCUUAACAACUUAACUUUAUGACAUCUUACUGGGGCCCGGGUGAUAUAUUUUUAUACUUGAACGGAUUUUAGAGCACAGCCACAGCUAGGUGAGUGUCAGCUGAAGGUUUUUUCCCCAUAUGAAGAAAAUAUUAUAGCUGAAACAGAACAGGUGUGUACAAGGACAAGAAAUGAGAAAUUAUAAGAAGUUAUUAAUAGUAAUACUAUUAUUGAUUACUCACAUCAAUCCAGUUCUGAAUCACUUUCUUAUUAUGUCCAGAGGGUUUAUGUUUUUUUUUUGUUUUUUUUUCUAUAGAAGAAAAAAGUCGAAACAGAUUUUCUUCAACUUAUACUGCCUUCUUCUUCUUUUUUUUUCAGUUUUAAUAUAACUGGGCUUAUUACUGCCAGUCGGUAAAUUACACAACUUGCUCCCUCCGCUCCAUUCACUCAAACUUCCUCUUCACCCCCAGAAGCAGAUUCAGGACCAUGGGAGACAGGGUCUUUUGUGCUGCUGCCCCACACCUGUGAAACGCCCUCCCUGAAACCUUGAGAGCACCACAAUCCGCUGACUGUUUUAAAAAGAGACUGAAGACAUUUCGUUUUAGCAAAACAUUUUUCCCUCUUAGAUUCUUUUCUUGAAGCUAUAGUGCGUAAGAUCUACGUGUCUUUAAAUUUAUCUGUUUCACCCAAGCCUCUAUACGAGGAG